AUGAUGACUAUGAUUUUUUAUGUGUACGUACAUGUAAUCAUAUAGUAUAUAGAAAAUAAAAGUAUUGUUUCAAUAAGCCUAUAUGAUUCCUCUAUACGAGAGAUAUUGUAUUACUUUUCCUUGAUUCAGGACCGAUCACCGUGUAUAUUGAUAAUAACUUUUAUGAUAAUGAUGAUAAAUACAUCACACUAUUUUUUUUCAAAAGGCCAA